AGGCAUCUCCUAUGGCAUGGGUCUGAAGCACAGAUUUGAGGCUGGUGCCCCCAGUGGCCCCCAACACUCAGCUGUUCUCAAAGCUCGUGGGCAGCGCCUUCACCAUCGCUGUGGUUGGGUUCGCCAUUGCCAUCUCGCUGGGGAAGAUCUUCGCCCUGAGGCACGGCUACCGGGUGGACAGCAACCAGGUCUGGGUGAUGCGGGAUGUGUAGGAGGCAUCCAAGUGUAUGGAGGCGCCAGCAACGGGUGGGGGAG
rnacentral:sRNA from 1 species